rnacentral:rRNA from 1 species
AGCUAAUACCGGAUGUGAUUGCUGGGGGGCAUCCUCUGGCACUUAAAGUCGGGGAGCAAGGCCUGACACUUUUCGAUAAGCCCGCGGCCUAUCAGCUAGUUGGUGGUAACGGCUCACCAAGGCUAAGACGGGUAGCUGGUCUGAGAGGACGAAGCCACACUGGAACUGAGACACGGUCCAGACACCUACGGGUGGCAGCACGAGAAUUUUUCUCAAUGGGGGAAACCCUGAAGGAGCGACGCGCGUGGGGGAUGAAUGGCUUCGGCCCGUAAACCCCUGUCAUUUGCGCAAACCUUGCGACCUAACACGUCGCAAGCUGAUAGUAGCGAAAGAGGAGGACGGCUAACUCUGUGCCAGCAGCCCGCGGUAAUACAGAAGUCCCAAGGUUCGGAUUCACUGGGCGUAAA